AUACGUAGGUGGCAAGCGUUGUCCGGAAUUAUUGGGCGUAAAGCGCAUGUAGGCGGUUUGGUAAGUCGGUCGUGAAAAUGCGGUGCUUAACGCCGUAUGGCGAUUGAAACUGCUGAACUUGAGUGCAGGAGAGGAAAGGGGAACUCCCAGUGUAGCGGUGAAAUGCGUGGAUAUUGGGAAGAACACCGGUGGCGAAGGCGCCUUUCGGGACGGUGUCUGACGCCCAGAGGCGAACGCCAGGAUGGGGAAGGGGAUGAGAUACCCCGGUAGUCCUGGCCGGAACCGAUGGGUACAAAGUGUGGGAGGUAUCGACUCCUUCCGUGCCGGAGUUAAAGCAAUAAGUACCCCGCCUGGGGAGUACGGCCGCAAGGCUUAAACUCAAAUGAAUUGACGGGG
rnacentral:rRNA from 1 species